rnacentral:lncRNA from 1 species
UGGAUAUGAAAUUUUUUCUAUAAAUUGAGUUUUUUUCCACGGUUUCUUUCAGUUUCAAUUUUCAAUUAGGGUUUCAGUUUCAAUCUCACCUCUUAGGAGGCAAUUGUUUGGAUGUUGGUGUGUGUGUGUGUAUGAUUGUGUAUCUGAUUCACAUACAUUUACACAUCACCAACGUUGAAAAAAAUUUCUCUCUGAAUGAAUAUCUGUGGCUGCUGUCAUCAAAAUUUUAAAAG